UGAGUGAAGUUGUGUAACGUAACUCCAUCACACUGUAUAAAGCUAUGAUAUAUUAUUAUUAAAGCCUUACAUUAUUAUUUUACGUUACUACGCUCAGUACGGUUUAAUCUUAGCCGUUGUACUCUGCUUAUUAUGUUGUCCACCGGUUUUUUUUGUGUUUCCCCUGCUUUUAUUAAUGUAAAGCAGCUUUGACAGAAUGAAACAAUUGUGAAAAGUGCUAUAUAAAUAAAAUUUUCUUGAAUACAUAGAUGAGCUAUAAUAAUAAUCACUUUAAUUUAUAUAGCGCCUUUCAAAGGACCCAAGGUCGGUUGCUCACUGCACUGCAAAAAUGUCUUUCUUACUUAGUAUUUUUGUCUUGUUUUCAGUAAAAAAAAAUAUCUAAAAAAAAUCUUUAAUAUUUUCUAGAUGCUGAUCCAGUGAGUACUCCAUCAAAGGCAUACUGUAGGCCUGGCAUGUCUUGUCUACUAGCUUCAAUAUGAAUCCGAUUAAAUGUGAUAGGGUGAAAGCCCCAGUGCAGCAGCAACAGCACAUGAUGGAGACGAUGAUGAGGAGGAGACCAUCUCUCUGGAUUCCAGAAGGCAUGGGGUAUCAUGUUAAGACUGUGAAAGUACUAUUUACUCUACAAUGGUGAGGAGUCCUCAUCAAAAUCAAAAAAUCUAAUUUCUUUUACAGGACCCAGAUGCUAUACAGUGGGAAAACCAGCCUGGCAACAUAAGCUCACAAGCUAUCAGAAAGUUGUAUGGCAACCACCUCCGGCGCCAAAUAGAACUGGCAGACAUAGACAUUCAGUACAAGAAGAAAAAGAUAGAAAAUCUUGCACUGGAGUCCGAAAUAAAAAAGAGGACAAUUAGGAAACUGGACCUUGAAAUAAAAAAACUUGAGAGGGAGCUCCAAGAAGAUGACACAGCUCAAAAUAAAAAUUAGCAAUCAGUACAACCAAGUCAUCGUUAUAAGGCACCGGCCUCUUUUGCCCACCUCCCCAGCACCAGGUGUGGCCACUAGCCUAUAUGAAGGCCCAAAAUUGUGUGUUCCUUUCUGCUCUGACAAUGGCAUGCCCAUUCUUGCGAGAUGUGGUGGAUGAAGAAGCACUUGUGCUGAGGAGAGCCUUCUGGCGAGAAAGGGUCUUCAGGGACCGGUUGGACCCACUGGCCUUCCCUGAUGACCAUCUAUAUGAAAGAUACAGGUUUUCUGCAGAUGGCAUCAGGUAUCUAUGCAGACUACUGGGUCCCAGGAUUAAGCACCGCACUGCACGGAGCCAUGCACUGAGUGUGGAGCAAAUGGUUUGUGUGGCCUUGCGCUUUUUUGCUAGUGGAGCCUUCCUGUACUCAGUGGGGGAUGCAGAACAGCUGAACAAGGCCACAAUUUGCCGCACAAUAAGGAGUGCGUGUCUGGCUAUCAAAGCAUUAGCAGAUGUCUUCAUCUCCUUCCCUGGCCACAGAAGACUCUGUGACAUGAAAGGGGAGUUCUAUAGGAUUGCAGGUAAGAGGAUCUACAAAUUACAGGACAACUGUUAACACAUAGUAGGAUACUCAUUACUUUGUGUGACCGGUUUCCCCAAUGUCAUUGGUGCAGUGGACUGCACACACAUAAGGAUAAAAGCCCCCUCAGGUGCCCAUGAGGCAGAUUUUGUGAAUAGGAAAUCCUU